UACGUAGGGGGCAAGCGUUGUCCGGAUUUAUUGGGCGUAAAAGGCUUGUAGGUGGCCACGCCAAGUCGGAUGUGAAAUCUCCCGGCUCAACUGGGAGGGGUCAUUCGAUACUGGCGGGCUCGAGGCCGGUAGGGGGAAGUGGAAUUCCCGGUGUAGUGGUGGAAUGCGUAGAUAUCGGGAGGAACACCAGUGGCGAAGGCGGCUUCCUGGACCGGUUCUGACACUGAGGAGCGAAAGCGUGGGGAG
rnacentral:rRNA from 1 species